rnacentral:rRNA from 1 species
AGCUAGUUGGUGGGGUAAAGGCUUACCAAGGCGACGAUCUGUAGCGGGUCUGAGAGGAUGAUCCGCCACACUGGAACUGAGACACGGUCCAGACUCCUACGGGAGGCAGCAGUGGGGAAUCUUGGACAAUGGGGGCAACCCUGAUCCAGCCAUGCCGCGUGAGUGAAGAAGGCCUUCGGGUUGUAAAGCUCUUUCGGCCGGGAAGAAAUCGCAUGGGCCAAUACCCUGUGUGGAUGACGGUACCGGAAUAAGAAGCACCGGCUAACUACGUGCCAGCAGCCGCGGUAAUACGUAGGGUGCGAGCGUUAAUCGGAAUUACUGGGCGUAAAGCGUGCGCAGGCGGUUUUGUAAGACAGGCGUGAAAUCCCCGGGCUUAACCUGGGAACUGCGUUUGUGACUGCAAGGCUAGAGUACGGCAGAGGGGGGUGGAAUUCCACGUGUAGCAGUGAAAUGCGUAGAGAUGUGGAGGAACACCAAUGGCGAAGGCAGCCCCCUGGGUCGAUACUGACGCUCAUGCACGAAAGCGUGGGUAGCAAACAGGAUUAGAUACCCUGGUAGUCCACGCCCUAAACUAUGUCAACUAGGUGUUGGGUGGGUAAAACCAUUUAGUACCGUAGCUAACGCGUGAAGUUGACCGCCUGGGGAGUACGGCCGCAAGGUUAAAACUCAAAGGAAUUGACGGGGACCCGCACAAGCGGUGGAUGAUGUGGAUUAAUUCGAUGCAACGCGAAAAACCUUACCUACCCUUGACAUGCCAGGAACUUGCCAGAGAUGGCUUGGUGCCCGAAAGGGAGCCUGGACACAGGUGCUGCAUGGCUGUCGUCAGCUCGUGUCGUGAGAUGUUGGGUUAAGUCCCGCAACGAGCGCAACCCUUGUCGUUAAUUGCCAUCAUUUAGUUGGGCACUUUAACGAGACUGCCGGUGACAAACCGGAGGAAGGUGGGGAUGACGUCAAGUCCUCAUGGCCCUUAUGGGUAGGGCUUUACACGUCAUACAAUGGUCGGUACAAAGGGUUGCCAAGCCGCGAGGCGGAGCCAAUCCCAGAAAGCCGAUCGUAGUCCGGAUUGCAGGCUGCAACUCGCCUGCAUGAAGUCGGAAUCGCUAGUAAUCGUGGAUCAGCAUGUCACGGUGAAUACGUUCCCGGGUCUUGUACACACCGCCCGUCACACCAUGGGAGCGGGUUCCGCCAGAAGUAGGUAGCCUAACCGCAAGGGGGGCGCUUACCACGGCGGGGUUCGUGACUGGGGUGAAGUCGGAACAAGGUAGCCGUAGGGGAACCUGCGGCUG